GCCCGGUUGGCUCAGUCGGUAGAGCGUGUGACUCUUAAUAACAUACCCUUCGGGGUGUUUGUUAGGUGAUCUCAAGGUCGCGAGUUCGAGCCUCGCAUUGGGCU